CUGCUUCACUGUAUGGCUCAGAGACACUUUGAGGAUGGAGAAAAAAGGGAAAGGCAGCCCUGGCUUUUCUGAUUCCGACAAGCUCUAAAAACUCUUGAGAAAUGGAGACCUGACAGAUGAAGGACUAUGUGGAAAACCAAUAGAGCAGAUUUCCAAGGAGGAGUUGCGGGAGAGGAGCAGAACAGCACCCAAAGGGGAAUAUUCACUAGGAUUUCUUCCUAGUGUUUGGGGAUCUCUGAUAUUUCCACACCUGAAGCAGCUUCUGUAAAUAAGACAUAUGGGACUGAAAAAGGAAGAGCAGCUGGAGCAUCCCUGGAGCAAAGCUCACAUGUAAUCAGCACAGGAAAACGGACCCAUUUAUCAUCUCUUUUAUGUAGUUUGCAGCCACAGGGCAGAUAUUUUAAAAUGCAAGCAUGUGUGUCCCCUCCUGCAAUCACUGACUUCAGCAGCUGAAGGAAGGAGGGCAGAGAGGAGCGUGCAGCCUGCCCUGGGGACAUGGGCAAUGUUAGAGCCAUGAGCAGGCACACGUGGUUCCCUUUGCAGUACAUCUCCAAGCCCUUCUGGAGAGGGGAGAAUCACAACACCACCAACUUCUUCUCUGCCCUGUACGGCUUCCCUAACCAAUCCUUCUUCCACAGUGACUUGGACCUGGAGGACCUGGGGGACUUUGAAAGCGGCACCAGGUAUGAGGGCGAGUCGCAGAGCCGGACGGUGAAGGCGCUGCUGAUCGUCGCCUACUCCGUCAUCAUCUGCAUCUCCCUCUUCGGCAACAUCCUGGUGUGCCACGUGGUGAUCAAGAACAAGAGGAUGCACUCCGCCACCAGCCUCUUCAUCGUCAACCUGGCCGUCGCCGACGUGAUGAUCACCAUUUUGAACACCCCCUUCACGCUGGUGCGGUUUGUAAGCAGUACCUGGGUUUUUGGAAAGCUGAUGUGUCACAUAAGCAGGUUUGUCCAGUACUGCUCCGUCCACGUGUCUGUGCUGACCCUUGCUGCCAUCGCUCUGGAUCGGCAUCAGGUCAUCAUGCACCCUCUCAAGCCCCGCAUGUCCAUGGUGAAAGGAGGGAUUUGCAUCAUUAUCAUCUGGGUUAUGGCCAGCUGCUUCUCCCUGCCUCAUGCCAUUUAUCAGACUUUGACAAGAUUUUAUAUCGGGAACAGAACAAUACGAAUGGUUUGCCUCCCCAGCUUCCCUCCUCCUGCUGAUCUUUUCUGGAAGUAUUUGGACUUGACUACUUUUGUUCUCUUGUAUGUCCUGCCCUUGCUUGUGAUCUCCAUCACCUAUACCAUGGUGGCCAAGAAGCUCUGGCUCAGAAAUGCCAUCGGGGACCUCACCAUGGAGCAGUACUAUGCCCAUCAGCGGAAAAAGAAGAUGACGCUGAAGAUGCUGAUGGUGGUGGUGAUUGUGUUUGCAGUAUGCUGGUUCCCCCUGAACUGCUACGUGGUGUUGAUCUCCUGUAGGGCCAUCCACAGUAGCAACGCUCUGUACUUUGCUUUUCACUGGUUUGCCAUGAGCAGCACUUGCUACAACCCCUUCAUUUACUGUUGGCUGAACGAAAGCUUCAGAUCUGAGUUGAAGUCCUUGCUGUGUGUGUGCCGGAGAAGGAGUGCAGCCCAGAGCCACGCUCUGCAGUCCAUCUCCCCCCCUUUCAGACAUGCCUGGGUUGAGAACUGCCGCUAUAAAAGAGGCAGCACCUGCCAAAAGGCAAGAGCAUCCUCCCAGAGGAACUCUGCAAAGACAGACAUAUCCAGCGUUCAGCCAAUUGUGGCAGAAAGCUAAAUCUUUCAUGUGAUGGCCAGGCAUCGUGUUGUAAUUGCAGAAAAACUGAGUUGGAAAGGACUGCUGGAGACCACCUAGUCCAACCUUCUGCCCAAAGCAAGCUAACAUCAACGUUUGACUGGGUUGUUCAGGACCUUGUCCAGUCAGGUUUUCAAAAAAAUCUCCAGGGAUGGACUGCCCACACGUGGGCUCCAGAAUGAGGGGUGGGGAGGGAAUUUUUCACCAGAACAGUCAGCAAAACUUAAGAGAACUUGUUCACAGCACACAAAAUCUAUCAGCGCCUAAGCAAAAAAGGGGAAAAUUAGUAAAAAUUACUGAAAGGAAAAUUGGUUCUGUUUUACCUCAAACUGGGACACCUACACUGAUUAUGCACAUGCCAACUGGUGCACACUGUUUUAAAGUAGAUGGCUGUUCGUGCAUAUAGAAACAUUGCAUUGAUGCCUUCUUUUUAUUUAUUUGCAAUUUAUCCAAGAUGAGUAACAUUUAAAGCCAUUCUCAAACGUAUACCCAGCACCUGUCAGCUGCUUUCUCUGCUGUUGGAGAUCUAUGGCUCUGCCUCUCCUCCUCCCUGUGUCCCACGACGGCUGGCCCUGCCUGCCAGUGCAGGGGGAAAAGAUUCAAAAAUCACCACUGGAAUGCAGCUUAGAAGCAGGACAGAAAAAACUUGCUCCAUUUUUGCAGGUGUUCUUCUUUCAGUGGCUUGUUUUAUUCUGUAAGGACUACCAGUAGUCACCUCAAAAUGCUGCUUAUUCUGCAAUCUGUGGACAAGAGAGAAAUUAUGCAAGUGAGCUUAUUCUCAAACAUGAGCUAGCUGAGGGAUCAGCCCUUUCUUAAAACAUAUACCAAAUGUCAUUUUGCUAAGGACUAAACUAAUGCCCACUCACAAAACACCACCAGCCACCCAAUAAAUAGAAAUGAUUCCAGAGGAAUUUUUUAUUUUUGCACUUUCUACUAUGUUGCUUUUUUGAUGGAUUUCUAUUAUCUAUUCUAUACUAAAUUGGAGGUCAGAUGUGGUGUUUAGAUGUGGUGUUGGGGGAUAUGGUGUAGGGGGAGAACUUCAUAGAGUAGGGUUGGUGGUUGGACUCAAUGAUCUCAAGGAUUUUUUCUAACCUGAAUGACUCUACAAUUCUAUGUUGACAGUCAAAAUCAUUUUACGGAGCUUGUACCAGUGGAGACACCAGUUUGAGUCUAAUAGCUUGGCAGUCAUGUCCACUGGUCCCAGCAAGUUAAGCUGUUGACCUGAGGGCAGCUCCCCAGGCUGGAUGCCAGCCCAAUGUUGGGUACGUUUGGAGGAAGCCCUCAGGGACUGUGGACUUCAGACACCAAUGUCCCUACCUGACCUUCCAAAUUAGGGGUGGUCAGUUGCCAGCCCAGCGAUAGGAACUGGGAUGUGACCAGUUUCUCUAGCACUGGGAGCACUGGAGAUAAUUUUGGGAAGGGGAGAGGACAGAAGAGCAUCAGACAAGGAACAGAGACCUCACAUGGCUUGAAAUACUGUGAAACACCCUGGCAUUUCCAAGGCUUGUGCUGCAAGUAAAUGGUCCCCUCCUACAAAAGGUGAUUACUUGUCCCUACUGCGUGUAUUCAGAAUUACUCUGCAGAAGGAUGAGCUUAGGGGAGGAAACUGAAUUAGAAAAAAUCACUUGAGAGAACAAGCACCCAAGACUCAGAUGUCUCCUCCAAUUCACUGACAAGAAAUGUGUUUUUUUAACAGACUUUCUCCUGCGGGCUUUAUCAUGUGAGCCUUCAUUUUGUCUACGCUAAUGAAGAAGUGUAAAUGGAGAUCUGAAUGGGGCUGGCUCAGUGGAGGCAGACGUCUGAGUCUUUCAUUUUAUGUUACAAAAUAUGUCAAUGAGGUAUGGAACAGACUUUUCAGGUGAGAAAACUGAUGGCCUCCAUCACUGCCAACUCAAACGUUACUGACCCACCUGCAGUAACUUGGAAGUAACUUCUGCAGGUUUUGCCUUGCUGCUCCAAAGCUCACUUAGCACGUUAUUUCCCCAAGGAAGUUCUACGUUACAUAAGCAUGAAAAUAUAGCAGGUCUCAUCUACAUGAAAGCUUCCAUGAAACCCAGACCCGAGGUACUAAUAAUUAAUAACUGGCUCUGAAUCAGAGCCAUGAAGAAGCACAACUGCCAACAUUGUUAAACAGAAUAAUGAGUUUCAGGAUGUUCCCAGUAACACUCCUGUAUAUUUACUGGAGUGUACUCCUGUACUCUUACUAAAGACCCAUCUUAAUAAAGCUUUCUUGUAGCAUGUUGAGAGAGAAAGACGCUGCUUUCUUCUUUUUCCAUUAUGCCCUACUUCAGACAAAUGUUUGUGCUACAUUUUUACUUUUCA